rnacentral:hammerhead_ribozyme from 1 species
AAGAUGACAAGUCCAAAAUAGGACGAAACGCGCGUCUUGAAU